rnacentral:lncRNA from 1 species
UUAUUUUUUAUCAUAAUAUUAAUACUACAAUCUAAAGUAUAUUAUUUUGUAUGUAUGAAUUAAUCGAUACCUCAAUCAUGAAAUAUUUCAAUAUUUUAUUUAAAAAAAGUAAAUUAUAUUUAGAAAAUAUUUUUAUAUUUUCUGUAUAAAUGAUUUUUUAAAAGCUAUGAAACCGAAUGGGUCUCAGUUUCUGCUCCUCGAGAUUCCGAUGAUGGCAUUGUGCGUAUAUCGCCGGCAUCGCACGCUUGCCAUGCAUAGCGCCGCGUUUGGACGACUGAGCUCGUCGUUGGACGCAUCGAGCCGCUUCGAGGUCGCGGAAGAAGGCUGAUUACUCGACUUCGGGAGAUCGCGCAUCCCAUCGCAAUGGCGACGAUCGCAAGGCUGCCGCGGGUGGGAGUUGGUUCAGCUCGAUGUCGCUGAAGGGGAGGGAGUGUUGUACGAAUCGGUUCUGUCACCUCCCUCACGGUUCCAUCCAUCACCAGUGUGCUAGCGACGAACUGUGCUGGCGAUGGGCAUGCGGCGGCUAGGGCUUCUUCCGUAGGAUGAAGAUGAGACUCUUAGCCAAAUUACAGUAUAGUCUCUUCACUUUUAAAAAGUUUCAAAAUAGUCCUUUUAGGCAGAAAAUAAAUUUUAAAAAUUAUUUGCAGUCUAUCAAUUAAAUGACUAUUUAAUUUAAGAUAUGUUUUAUUAAUUUGAGUCAUUUAAAUAUUUUAACAGUAGUUAAC